GCCCGGGUGAUGAAAUUGGUAACCAUAGUGGACUUAAAAUCCACCGCCGACAGGCUUACGGGUUCGAGUCCCGUCCCGGGCACCA
rnacentral:tRNA from 1 species